UGGGGUGUAGCCAAGUGGUAAGGCAGCGGCCUUUGGAGCCGCCAUUCCCAGGUUCGAAUCCUGGCACCCCAGCCA
rnacentral:tRNA from 1 species